UUGGGAAUUUUUCGCAAUGGGCGAAAGCCUGACGGAGCAAUACCGCGUGAGGGAAGACGGCUUUUGGGUUGUAAACCUCUUUUCUCUGGGAAGAAGCAAUGACGGUACCAGAGGAAUCAGCAUCGGCUAACUCCGUGCCAGCAGCCGCGGUAAGACGGAGGAUGCAAGCGUUAUCCGGAAUUAUUGGGCGUAAAGAGUACGUAGGUGGUUAUACAAGUCUAGGGUUAAAGCCUGCGGCCUAACCGUGGAUCGGCGUUAGAAACUGUAUGACUAGAGUGUGAUAGGGGUGGCGGGCAUUCCCGGUGUAGCGGUUAAAUGCGUUGAAUAUCGGGAAGGUCACCG
rnacentral:rRNA from 1 species